rnacentral:misc_RNA from 1 species
GUAAUUGCAAGGCCCCCUCUUUUGCAGUUGUGGCGACUGUGAGGUUUGAAUUUUUGGUUGCAAAUCGAGCAAGGUUGAAUAUACCAUGGAUGUGGCGUAACAGAAAUUCAUGGGAUUAGACGAACAGGUAUGGUUGAGACAGGCUGAUGCGAAACCCAGAACUUGACAUUUCUUAAUUCCCAACCAUGGCUAUGAAAUUUAUUGAUUUCCAUCUUUAAAGAGUGCAUGAAGGGGGAGGGAGAAAGAGAAAAACCAAGAGAGAGAGAGAGAG